AUAACUCCGGCGGUAAGAAAAGUUAUUGGAAAAGCCAAAUGCGCCUGGCUCGGCAUCACCAAGCCUUGCAAGCAACGAAACAGGGAGCGUGGAAGUUUGCGUGCCGAUCGUCGCGUCCGCCUGUCCGAUCCGAUCGUACUGUUCAGAUAUCGCCGAUCGGGAUGAGAGCGCCUCCACGACACCCGUCGUCUUCUGGCCUCCAUGACCGUGGCACGAUUUCCGCUGACAUCCCUUCAAGCAAUCACUCUCCUUCCCCAAUUGCCUACUUAAACCCUACAACCCCCCCUUGGAUCCUCCGUGCUCUCGAUCCCACCCUCACCCCUUCUACUCUGAUUUCUUGGCUCAUAGAUUGUUUGUUCGCUCUGCUGGUCGGGAAUCGCUGCAUCAGUCUCUGGGAUUGGAGGGGGUGAGAACACAAUGGGUCAUCAAGCAGCAUCUUCCACUGCCGUGACUUAUGCUCUGCUUCUGCUUUGUGCUAUUCAUCAUUGCUUUGCUUAUGAAUUGAAGGCAAACCGGACUGCACUCCUGUCAGUUGAUGCUUCACCAGAAUCGGGCCACGAGACUCCGGACACUCUGUUUGGUAUUUUUUUUGAGGAGAUCAACCAUGCAGGAGCUGGUGGAUUAUGGGCAGAACUUGUAAGCAAUAGAGGUUUUGAAGCUGGAGGCACCAACACUCCUUCAAACAUCAAUCCGUGGUCCAUAAUUGGGAAUGAAUCUUUCAUAUAUGUGUCAACUGACACCACAUCUUGUUUCGAACGUAAUAAGGUUGCACUUAGGAUGGAUGUACUAUGUGACAGUGAGGGAUCCGUUAUCUGUCCACCUGAUGGUGUUGGCAUAUAUAACCCUGGGUAUUGGGGCAUGAAUAUAGAACAAGGGAAGACCUAUAAAGUGAUAUUGCAUGUUAGAUCAUCUGAAGCAGUUAAUAUUUCUGUCUCACUGACAAGUUCGGAUGGAUUGCAAAAACUGGCUUCUACCAAUAUGCUAGCUGCUGCUUCAGAUGUUUCAAACUGGACUAAGAUGGAGUUUCAAUUGCAAUCUGAAGGAACUAAUAGGAGCUCAAGACUUCAGUUGACAACUACCAACAAAGGUGUUAUUUGGUUUGAUCAAGUGUCAGUGAUGCCCUUGGACACUUACAAGGGACAUGGUUUCCGUAAGGAACUCGCCUCCAUGCUUGCAGACUUGAAACCUCGGUUUAUGAGAUUUCCUGGAGGUACUUUUGUUGAAGGUAUUUGGCUAAGAAAUGCAUUCCGAUGGAAAUCAACAAUUGGACCAUGGGAAGAGAGGCCUGGGCACUUUGGUGAUGUUUGGCAGUACUGGACUGAUGAUGGGCUUGGAUACUUUGAGCUUCUUCAGCUUGCGGAAGAUCUAGGUGCCUCCCCAGUUUGGGUGAUUAACAAUGGAAUUAGUCGCAAUGAUGAAGUUGAUACCAGUGACAUCUUACCUUUUGUUCAGGAAAUUCUUGAUAGUAUUGAGUUUGCUAGAGGAAGUCCUAACUCAACAUGGGGCUCUGCUCGAGCAGCAAUGGGACACACAGAACCUUUUCAAUUGAAUUAUGUUGCAAUUGGAAAUGAAGAUUGUGGACUGAAAUAUUAUCGAGGAAACUACCUCAAGUUUUACUAUGCAAUAAAAGCUGCCUAUCCAGACAUUAAUGUUAUUUCGAAUUGCGAUGGGUCAUCUAGACAAUUGGAUCAUCCUGCUGACUUAUACGACUUUCAUAUUUAUACCUCUGCUAGCAAUAUGUUUUCAUCGAAUAGAAAAUUUGACGGCACAUCACGUACUGGCCCCAAGGCUUUUGUUAGUGAGUAUGCUGUGACUGGGUCAGAUGCUGGCACAGGAAGCCUUUUAGCUGCAUUAGCAGAAGCUGGAUUCCUCAUUGGGUUGGAAAGAAAUAGUGAUGUCGUUGAAAUGGCAAGUUAUGCACCACUUUUUGUGAAUGCCAAUGAUCGCAGAUGGAAAAAGUGCAUCCAAUUGGAACUGGAACAAAAUCCCUGUCCCUUUUCAGAUUCAACUAUGGUGGAACCCAGACGCUAUUGUUUUCAACUCAUGGCAGCAGUAUGGAACUCCUAGCUAUUGGAUGCAACACUUUUUCAAGGAAUCAAGUGGUGCAACCCGUCAUCCUACCACAAUUCAAACCAAUGCCUCCAUUUCAUUGGUUGCUUCUGCAAUUACUUGGCAGAGUUUGGAAGACAACAGCAGUUACUUAAAAAUAAAGAUUGUCAACUUUGGGAAUGAUACUGUGAAUCUUAAUAUCUCUGUGAGUGGAUUACAAAAUGCUCUCAACUCAGGUGGAUCAACAAAAACCAUACUUACAUCCACUAAUUUAAAGGAUGAAAAUUCCUUCACAGAACCAAAUAAGGUGGUGCCAGUACAGACUUCAUUACCUAAUGCAGGAACACAGAUGGAUGUUGCAAUUUCUCCACAUUCUAUCACCUCAUUUGAUUUAUCACUUGCUCAGGCAGAGUACAGAUCUGCAAUAUGAAAUGACAGUAGAGGGGAAAAAAAGGAGAUGAAGAGAGUGAAACGAUUGAAAGAAAAAUAAGGGUUGGCUUUGUAUAUAUAGACUACUUGCAUUGUGCAAGUCAGAGAGCCAACCGAUUAAUUUGGAUCUGUAAUUUAACCUAUAAUUAUAGAUAGCCUUAUGCAAGUCUCCAGUAUAUCAAUCUAUUUUGUGCUUUUUCCUUGUGUACUUUAUUAUUUUUUCCCUUUUCAAAAGUUGAACUAUUGAUUUGGUUUAUUGUCGAUGGAUUGUGUCAAAAUAA